UACGAAGGGGGCUAGCGUUGUUCGGAAUCACUGGGCGUAAAGGGUGCGUAGGCGGGUUUUUAAGUCAGGGGUGAAAUCCUGGAGCUCAACUCCAGAACUGCCUUUGAUACUGAAGAUCUUGAGUCCGGGAGAGGUGAGUGGAACUGCGAGUGUAGAGGUGAAAUUCGUAGAUAUUCGCAAGAACACCAGUGGCGAAGGCGGCUCACUGGCCCGGUACUGACGCUGAGGCACGAAAGCGUGGGGAGCAAACAGG
rnacentral:rRNA from 1 species